rnacentral:misc_RNA from 1 species
AUUACAUACACCCACACACGCGCACACGUUGCGGCACAAUAGUACCGGGCGAGCCUCCUCUCCCACCGCUUGCCGGCAAGCGAGUGAGCCGUUCGCACUCACGACAAGCCAGCACGUGCACAAGCACCAGACAUGCUUGCCACCGUUCUUCAUGUGCUGCUGUUUGUUGCCGGGCUUAUUGGUCUCUUGGCCAUCAAGAAGCAGCGCCUUCGGCACAUACCGACCCGUCGCACGCACAUCCCGCGGCGCCAUGCUGAGGGCACGCUGUGGUUGCAACGCUUCGUGAAUGCGGUACUGGACAUGCUGCACGGCGCGUUGGCUGAGCAGCAGGCAAGAGCGGCUGCAGAGGCGGCCGCUGCAGGAGGCGGCGCAAGUGUCUCAUCCCCUCCACCAGAGCCAGUGCACGGCGCGCCCUUAGAAAACGAUGCUUCAAAGAAAUUCGAUGCGCCCGCGAGCGGUGACGGCACUGUGUGCGACGGCGAUGCUGACAGCGUGAGCAGCGCCGAAGUGCUGUCCGAGCUGCCGUUCCUCAACGCCCUAAAGGCGCAGCUGGAGGAGCAGAUUAGCGCGCUGCUAGAAGACAAGGGCAUCGCCUCCUUCGCCGACUUUCGCGUCAAAGACUGGGGUGGCAAACCUCCUGUGAUCAAGGCGCUGUACCUCUCCCACGGCGGGGGCGGGGGCAGCGGCAACACCGCUGCGAGCGUCACGGGAGCGUCCGCGUUGUCCCCCGCCGCGCCAGCUGCACCUUUGGCUGGUGGUCUUGGGAGCAUGGCCUCCUUGGACAGCAUGGGUCCUGGCGGCGCUGCGGCGGUGGCACAGCAGCGCGUCGCUGGAGUGAUGCCGCUAGGCAACCUGAGUGGAUUAGGGAAACAGACACAGCAGCAGCAGCCACAAAAUCCUCCAAUUCAAUCGCCCGUGUCGGUUGGGUCGUUCUCGUACACGAAUCCGAUGCAGCCCCUCGCGGCCUCAACAGUGAGCGCAGAGCGGCAAAGUGACGUCAGCGGGGACGCCGUGAACGCAACUGUCCGCUCAUCGACGGACCCGUCGAUGCUGACUAGCCUCCGGUACCGAAGCUCAGGCGAUGAAUCCGGCGCCGCGGCAGGGGCAGGGACAGCUGGACGCGAGCGCAAUGUAACAGGCCCCAUGGCACACUCUGUUCGCCUCAGCAGCAGCAGUGGGGCGCACGGAGGAGCUGACCCGAGCUCGUCAGUAGCAGGGCCUUCCUCGGCUGUUGCCGCGGCGGGAGUGACUGCCGCACAUACUUGCGGCGCGAGGCACGCCACAGACACAACGCGCUCGCUCUCCGUCCUGGAUGCUGAGGUCGAGGUGGAGUACAGCGGCAACUUCAGCGUGUCUCUCAACGCCGACCUCCCCAUCGCGCGCGGGCGCUAUCUGCAGGUGUACGUGUCGCUCAGCGAUGUGCGCAUGCUCGCCGCGCACGUGCGGCUGCGCCUCUCCCUGGAGUACGAGCCAGCCACGGUAGAGUCACCCCAACCGCAGCCCUAUCUGAGCGGCACACUGUGGCUCCUUUCCGAUCCGAUGUUCGACGCCGCCUUCCAUUCCACUCUCACGCAGUACCGUAUCCGCGACUUCUUCAUGGUGCCAGUGCUCGUGAAGCUCUUUCUCCUUCGCUUUGUGCGCACGAAGCUGCGACCCUCUUCACAGGCGGUGACUGCCUCCCGGCCUCCGGGGAGCCAUCGUCGUCGCGCUGGUGCCGGCGCCAGCGGUACCAUCGGCACCGCCGCUGGCGGUGCUGCCUCGGGAACCGGCGGUGAGCAGAGCGCCGGCGUUUCCACAGGCAUGCUGGCCGACGUCAACGAGGAUGCACAGCAUGGCGCGUCCGAUGCGUCGGGGCUUUCAUUCCGAGUGCAGCUCCCCGCUGACGUGGUGGAUGGCGGGGAGCAUUGGUGGUCGUCGAUUGCGCGUGGCUCGAUGAGUGAGCAGCCCGUGCCCUUCACCAGCGCCUACUUUGUGCGCUGAGUGCAACGGCUACAGGUGGUCUGGCACCCACAGGCAGAGAAAGUACGAAAGCAAUACUGCAUGCGCAACGUCGGCUCGCAAUCAGUGUACGUGUGCUUUUGCUGCCUUGCAUCGCGUCCGGAGGCGAAAGCGAAACAGGCGAAGAUGGGCCGAAUCGAGUGAAGCGGUAGACCGAGCCGCAAGCACGGUGAGGACGCUGUGCACGGCGUGCCGCCUCCUUACGUGUUUCGUCUCUUCCUGCGGUCCCUUCUGCGCUUUUCCAAAAGAGAGAGAUGAGGGAGGGAGGGAAGGAGGGAGGACGGGCGCAUUUUGUUUCUCUAUCUAUGUAUGUGUGCUGUGGCGGCCUUCCAGCUCUAGCCAUAUCUGCGGCUCUCCCUCUCUCUCUCAUGCUCAUCUCGUGUGUGUGUGUGUGUGUGUGUGUGUGUGUGUGUGUGUGUGUGUGUGUCGUUGCUUAUCGAUGACCACGCCACACCACCACCGUCAUCUCUGCCCUCUUCUUCUUCCGCCAUCGCAUCCCUCUCUUGUUCGUGCCGUUGUUGUUCAUUACCGCGCACAGACGUGCGGUUAUG